UCUGUUCCCCUCCUUCACUUUGAUCUGGACCUUCUUUUUCAUUUAACUCUGUUGCUCCUACCCUGCCCCUCUCCUAUUCCACUCCCAGAAGUUUAUCCUGUGUGGUUCUGUUCUGAAAGGAAGUCCUGUUGGGCCUGUUUCAAGGGUUCAGAGAGAUUUGGCUGCUCCAGCCCGUUGAAGGCCUUACUCCUGACCCCUUACACUCACCCACUAUCGGAAUUUCUACUGCUAUUCUCAAAUCAGGCCGCUGCACUUGACGAGACAAGAAGUUUACAAUUCAUACUUGGGACAGUGCCAUAGGAUCCUUCCUCAUGGAUAUCUGGCUUCUUUAUUCAAUGGGAUCAAACAGUAAAUUGGAUCAGUUUCUGGAAAUUGGGAAGACCAUAAUGCAUAACCUCAUUCUUGAUGAUUACCACUAUAUUCCUGCCACUUACAUGGGAGACAGUUACUGCUGCCAUUUGUCCUCUGCCACUCCAGAAUUCUAUCAUCACAACGGAACUCAGAGAGCCUGUUUCUAUAGCAGUAUCUCCUACAUAAGACAGCCCUACCAGCUGGGUGCAGUAGCUCAUGCUGGUAACCCCAACACUUUGGGAGGCCGAGGUGGGAGGAUUGCUUGAGCCCAGUAGUUCAAGACCAGC